GAUGAGCAUGCGUCCCAUUAGUUAGUUGGUAAGGUAACGGCUUACCAAGACGAUGAUGGGUAGGGGUCCUGAGAGGGAGAUCCCCCACACUGGUACUGAGACACGGACCAGACUCCUACGGGAGGCAGCAGUGAGGAAUAUUGGUCAAUGGGCGCAAGCCUGAACCAGCCAUGCCGCGUGCAGGAUGAAGCAUCUAUGGUGUGUAAACUGCUUUUAUACGGGAAGAAACACCGAUUCGUGAAUCGGCUUGACGGUACCGUAAGAAUAAGGACCGGCUAACUCCGUGCCAGCAGCCGUGGUAAUACGGAGGGUCCAAGCGUUAUCCGGAAUCAUUGGGUUUAAAGGGUCCGUAGGCGGCCCGGUAAGUCAGUGGUGAAAUCUCCCCGCUCAACGGGGCAACGGCCAUUGAUACUGCCGGGCUUGAAUUACUAGGAAGUAACUAGAAUAUGUAGUGUAGCGGUGAAAUGCUUAGAGAUUACAUGGAAUACCAAUUGCGAAGGCAGGUUACUACUAGUGGAUUGACGCUGAUGGA
rnacentral:rRNA from 1 species